AUUGAACGCUGGCGGCAGGCCUAACACAUGCAAGUCGAGCGAGCGGCGGACGGGUGAGUAAUGUAUGGGGACUGCCCGAUCGAGGGGGAUAACUCCUGGCACCGGUGGCUAAUACCGCAUACUAUCGGAUAACCCAUAUGGGAUUAGCUAGUCGGUGGGGUAAAGGCUCACCUAGGCGACGAUCUCUAGCUGGUCUGAGAUGAUGAUCAGCCACACUGAGACUGCGACACGGCCCAGACUCCUACGGAGGCAGCAGUGGGGAAUAUUGCACAAUGGGCGCAAGCCUGAUGCAGCCAUGCCGCGUGUGUGAAGAAGGCCUUGGGGUUGUAGAGUACUUGCAGCGGGGAGGCGGUGCCCGCAGAGGAAGCACCGGCUAACGCCGUGCCAGCAGCCGCGGUAAUAC
rnacentral:rRNA from 1 species